GGAUUCCCUAGUACUGCGAGUGAAGCGGGAAAAGCUCAAAUUUAAAAUCUGGUGGUCUUUGGCCAUCCGAGUUGUAAUCUAGAGAAGUGUUAUCCGCGCUGGACCGUGUACAAGUCCCCUGGAAUGGGGCGUCAUAGAGGGUGAGAAUCCCGUCUUUGACACGGACUACCAGGGCUUUGUGAUGCACUCUCAAAGAGUCGAGUUGUUUGGGAAUGCAGCUCAAAAUGGGUGGUAAAUUCCAUCUAAAGCUAAAUAUUGGCGAGAGACCGAUAGCGAACAAGUACCGUGAGGGAAAGAUGAAAAGAACUUUGGAAAGAGAGUUAAACAGUACGUGAAAUUGUUGAAAGGGAAACGCUUGAAGUCAGUCGCGUCUGCCAGGGAUCAACCUUACUUUUGUGAGGCGUACUUCCUGGUUGAUGGGUCAGCAUCAGUUUUGGUUGCUGGAUAAAGGUCAGAGAAAUGUGGCACCUUCGGGUGUGUUAUAGUCUUUGAUCAGAUACAGUGGCUGGAGCUGAG
rnacentral:rRNA from 1 species